rnacentral:rRNA from 1 species
CGCGUAGGCGGUCUUGUAAGUCAGGUGUGAAAUCCCGGGGCUCAACCCCGGAAGUGCAUUUGAUACUGCAAGACUUGAGUAUGGGAGGGGGAAGUGGAAUUCCUGGUGUAGAGGUGAAAUUCGUAGAUAUCAGGAGGAACACCAGUGGCGAAGGCGACUUCCUGGACCAAUACUGACGCUGAGGCGCGAAGGCGUGGGGAGCAAACA